GGUUCGAUGGUCUAAUGGUUAUGAUUUCUGUCUCACAGUUAGCUUAUCCAAGCUGCCCACACAGAAGGUUCCGAGUUCGAUCCUCGGUCGAACCA